AGUUGGUAAGGUAACGGCUUACCAAGGCGACGAUGCAUAGCCGAGUUGAGAGACUGAUCGGCCACAUUGGGACUGAGACACGGCCCAAACUCCUACGGGAGGCAGCAGUAGGGAAUCUUCCACAAUGGGCGAAAGCCUGAUGGAGCAACGCCGCGUGAGUGAAGAAGGUUUUCGGAUCGUAAAGCUCUGUUGUUGGUGAAGAAGGAUAGAGGUAGUAACUGGCCCCUAUUUGACGGUAAUCAACCAGAAAGUCACGGCUAACUACGUGCCAGCAGCCGCGGUAAUACGUAGGUGGCAAGCGUUGUCCGGAUUUAUUGGGCGUAAAGCGAGCGCAGGCGGAAAGAUAAGUCUGAUGUGAAAGCCCCCGGCUUAACCGAGGAAUUGCAUCGGAAACUGUGUUUCUUGAGUGCAGAAGAGGAGAGUGGAACUCCAUGUGUAGCGGUGGAAUGCGUAGAUAUAUGGAAGAACACCAGUGGCGAAGGCGGCUCUCUGGUCUGUAACUGACGCUGAGGCUCGAAAGCAUGGGUAGCGAACAGGAUUAGAUACCCUGGUAGUCCAUGCCGUAAACGAUGAGUGCUAAGUGUUGGGAGGUUUCCGCCUCUCA
rnacentral:rRNA from 1 species